rnacentral:rRNA from 1 species
AAAUUCGAGCGGAACGAUGGUAGCUUGCUACCAGGCGUCGAGCGGCGGACCGGUGAGUAAUGCUUAGGAAUCUGCCCAGUAGUGGGGGAUAGCCCGGGGAAACCCGGAUUAAUACCGCAUACGCCCUUUUGGGGAAAGCAGGGGAUCUUCGGACCUUGCGCUAUUGGAUGAGCCUAAGUCGGAUUAGCUAGUUGGUGGGGUAAAGGCUCACCAAGGCGACGAUCCGUAGCUGGUCUGAGAGGAUGAUCAGCCACAUCGGGACUGAGACACGGCCCGAACUCCUACGGGAGGCAGCAGUGGGGAAUAUUGGACAAUGGGGGCAACCCUGAUCCAGCCAUGCCGCGUGUGUGAAGAAGGCUUUCGGGUUGUAAAGCACUUUCAGUGAGGAGGAAGGCCUUAAGAUUAAUACUCUUAAGGAUUGACGUCACUCACAGAAGAAGCACCGGCUAACUCCGUGCCAGCAGCCGCGGUAAUACGGAGGGUGCAAGCGUUAAUCGGAAUUACUGGGCGUAAAGCGCGCGUAGGUGGUUGAGUAAGCGAGAUGUGAAAGCCCCGGGCUUAACCUGGGAACGGCAUUUCGAACUGCUCGACUAGAGUGUGGUAGAGGGUAGACUGUGAUU